rnacentral:rRNA from 1 species
AACUUCUAACGGUGAAUCUCUUGGCUCGUGCAUCGAUGAAGAACGCAGCCAGCUGCGAUAAGUAGUGUGAAUUGCAGAACUCAGCGAAUCAUCGAAUCUUUGAACGCAA